rnacentral:rRNA from 1 species
UGGGGAAUAUUGCACAAUGGAGGGAACUCUGAUGCAGCGACGCCGCGUGAACGAAGAAGGCUUUCGAGUCGUAAAGUUCUUUUAUAUGGGAAGAUAAUGACGGUACCAUAAGAAAAAGCCCCGGCUAACUACGUGCCAGCAGCCGCGGUAAUACGUAGGGGGCUAGCGUUUUCCGGAAUCACUGGGCGUAAAGGGUUCGCAGGCGGAAAUGCAAGUCAGGGGUAAAAGGCAGUAGCUUAACUACUGUAAGCAUUUGAAACUGCAUAUCUUGAGACGAGUAGAGGUAAGUGGAAUUUUUAGUGUAGCGGUGAAAUGCGUAGAUAUUAAAAAGAAUACCGGUGGCGAAGGCGACUUACUGGGCUCAUUCUGACGCUGAGGAACUAAAGCGUGGGUAGCAAACAGG